AUAAUCUUAUCUGGUAAAGCGAAUGAUUAGAGGCCUUGGGGCCGAAACGACCUCAACCUAUUCUCAAACUUUAAAUGGGCAAGAGGUCCGGGAUGCUUGAGUGAUCCCGGGCGGCGAACGGCGCGUUCAAAGUGGGCCAUUUUUGGUAAGCAGAACUGGCGAUGCGGGAUGAACCGAACGCGAGGUUAAGGUGCCAGAGUAGACGCU
rnacentral:rRNA from 1 species